GACGAACGCUGGCGGCGUGCCUAAUACAUGCAAGUAGAACGCUGAAGCGAGGAGCUUGCUCUUCUUGGAUGAGUUGCGAACGGGUGAGUAACGCGUAGGUAACCUGCCUGGUAGCGGGGGAUAACUAUGGGAAACGAUAGCUAAUACCGCAUAAAAUUGAUUAUUGCAUGAUAGUUAAUUGAAAGUUGCAACUGCAUCACUACCAGAUGGACUUGCGUUGUAUUAGCUAGUUGGUGAGGUAACGGCUCACCAAGGCGACGAUACAGAGCCGACCUGAGAGGGUGAGCGGCCACACUGGGACUGAGACACGGCCCAGACUCCUACGGGAGGCAGCAGUAGGGAAUCUUCGGCAAUGGGGGGAACACUGACCGAGCAACGCCGCGUGCGUAAAGAAGGUUUUCGGAUCGUAAAGCUCGGUUGUAAGAGAAGAACGGGUGUGAGAGUGGAAAGUUCACACUGUGACGGUAUCUUACCAGAAAGGGACGGCUAACUACGUG
rnacentral:rRNA from 1 species